AAAAAAAAAAAAAAAGGAGUAUAAAAGAAUCAUCUGUUUGUGUAGAGAAUCUGCUGAAAAAGAAACCAGGUGGUGGCAAAAGAACCACGUAAACAGUUAACUCAAACAACACACAGUUGGGUGCAGCUUGGAUCUGCUUAUAGCCAACACAUGGGAACUCUGGGCAAAGCUGUAGCGCACUAGUUAUAGACUCAUCCCAUAGACUUAGAGAUGGAAAACACUUAUUAGGACAUUCCAGUAUGGUGCAGAUGCUCAAGUAUGGUCCUGUUAUGUGGAAAAUUAAUUGAUUCUGACCUCAUGAAUAAAUUUCAUCUUCACAGGUACCAGGAAAACCCAACACGACUCAGAGUCUGAUGAGGUUUUGAAUGCUGGUAAACUCACAUGACAUUAUUUUUGUUAUUUAAGUUUCAAAAGGCAAAAUUCAACCCAGGGACAAGCCUGGCCUGUAUUUUCCCCAACUCAAUGAAAGUGAUUAAUAUUUUAAAAAUAAUUCUAGCUAACCUUGUGGACUUGUGCCCAUCAGGAACAAAAAAACCCUGACCUCACUCCUCUGUGUCUCCCUAAUUCCUUUCUUUUGGACUUCCACUGUGAAUUGCACUGUAAACACUCACUGUCAUUAAACUCUGGUACACAGAGCUGCUUCAGCUGCUGCACAGUCCAGCUCCCAUGGGAGCACGUGGAAAUCCCUGAUACAAAGGGGAUGUGAAAGGACCAACGAUGUGUUCUCAAAUGGAAGUGACUGUCGGUUUUGUUCCUCGUGCUGCCAAAUGCAAGGAAGGCUGGGACAUGCAGCUCUGUGACUGCAGGCCUUGCAAAGAAGGAGCACGUAUGUAUGUAAGGAGAAGGAUAGAUAGGUUUUAUAGCAGUGUUCAUCCCCAGAAUGCAAAGAAUAUAGUGGGAGAUGUUGCAAUACCUUGCUGCUUUCCCACAUAUCAAAUGCUGGGGAUUGCUCCAUUAGUCUCAUAAUUCAUAGGAGCUGUGGGAGUUGUACAGCAUAUCUGUCUGGAAAAGACAUUUUGUGGAGAAAAAGGUAGUGGGUUUUACCAGACAAGCUGAUGCAGAUGGAAAACACCCACCAAGCCCUACAGGACAAAUAUGUAAGAUUUUACUUCUUUCUGAAAACUGUCUCAUUUACUCCUGCAGCCCAUUGUGGUGGGAAGGCUUGUGCCUUAGCACAGCGGUGUUUUCUUACACUUUUCCAUCACGUAAAACCACUCAGCUCUGGGAAAAGGCACAAGAGCACCAGUUUAAUGUUCUGACCAUAGGUACAGUCACUGCAUUACCUGGACCCAUCCCUGCUAGACACUGACCUCAGUGCUGUAGAACUUGCAAAGAAUAGCAAGAGAUCAUAGAAUCAUAGAAUCAUUAAAAGAUAUCUAAGAUUAUCUGAUCCAACCAUCAAAGCAUCCCCACCAUGCCCACCAACCGCUUCCCUCAGUGCCACAUCUUCACAGUUCAUGAAUACAUCCAGAGGCUGUGACUCCAUCACCUCCCUGGACAGCUUGUGCCACUCUAUGACCACUCUUUCUACGAAUAAGUUUUUCCUAAUGUCCAACCUGAACCUUCCCUGGUGCAAUUUAAGGCCAUCACCUCUUGUCCUGUUGCUGCUACCUGGGAGCAGAGGGCAACCCCCACUUCACAACAAUCUCCUUUCAGGUGGUUGUAGAGAGCAAUAAGGUCACACCUGAUCCUCUUCUCCAGACUGAACCAUCCCAGUUCCCUCAGCUGCUCCCCAUCAGACUUCUGCUCCAGACCCUUCCCAGCUCUAUCGCCCUUCCCUGAACACACUCCAGAGCCUCAGUAUCUUUCUUAUAGUGAUCUUCCUUGUAUGAUGAACAAGCUGCUCUAAUGACCGCUUCUGUGCCCUGUUCUCUUCACUAAUAAUAUAGAUCAUGUAUCGCUGUUGCUUAGACAUAGUUGGUGGGGAUGGCACUGGGGAGAGUGUCCCAGCUUCUGCUCAGACCCUCUCAGGGGUCGUGUGCCCACACACCUGGCCUUCCACAAACCCUUCCUGCUGCCUUCGUCCUGUGCUAUGUGUAGUAGUGACAUCUGUGCACCAAUGGUGGUUUAUUGCUCUAGGUAAGUGAAAGAGCAGCAGAAACCACAGCCUUCCCUUGGGUUCUGUUUGUUUGGCAACUCCCAAACCACAGAGCCUGUUUUCAGAGGGAGGACUAGGAAACCCUCAAGAAGAGCUGAAGGUGGGAGGUGGCUGCAGUGGGGGUCCCAGGCAUAGAUGGAAGACCUGGCAGGAGCAGAACCUCCAGGAGCUGCCUGCAGAUGGGGAUGGGCAAGGGGAGAUGAGGUCAGAGAGGUCCUGGCGGGUGGAGCGCAUCCCAGGAGGGAGGUCACGUCCAAGAGAGCAGAUCUCAGUAAGUCAGAUGAAUUAUGUUGCUUAGAGCAGCACAGAUAACAGCUAAGGAGGCUGGGGCUGUCUCUGACUCAGGUUUCCUUAUGCUGAGCAUUUUGCAGAGCACCUUUUAUUGCCUUGUCUACUGCCAAACAAAUGGAUAAAUAACCCCGUGCCUCUCCCCCAGGCCUUCUUAUCAUCAGGGUGUGAGUAAGCCCUGGUGCUUGGAUCCAAACUCACACUCCCAGCCUCCUGGGAUGCCCAUCACGCGAUCCCUUUCAGGUCUGCACACAUCCUCAGGACCUGAGAGUGCCCCUCUAGGCUGCCCCAUGGACUUCAUGGUGAUUUCCAUGGAAGAGCUGUCCUUCAGUGAGUCCUCCCAUAGCCAGGGUAACUCAGUGGGCUCUGAUGAACCCUGCAGUCAGAAAGCCACCUCUCCAAUGACAGGAGAUCCUCAAGUGUAGUAGGGUCCUUCCAAACUUCAGAUGCAAUUAAUGAUUAGAUGUUAAUUCUGUCAGCAAGUGGUGGAGGUGGUGCACCUAUUGACCAGAGGCACUGAGCUGAACAAACCUGCUGCAAAGAACCAAGCACAGAAGGACAUGUUGCUUGCAUUUAACUGUCUGUGAGGAUGAGAGCUGUCUUCAUCCACUUGCAUCCAUCUGGGCUUUGCUGACAGCAUAGCACAUAUCAGAGCACCGUCUGUUAUUCCAGCACAGCAGUCAGCAACAAGACCUCAACCUCCGUGUGCUAGAUAAAGCAUCUUGAGGUUAUGUAGAUGAAUGAUAACAGUCAAGAUUAGACAACCGCAACUCUGUACACACGCUGCUGCUGCUGGCUUGCAGCUCUGCGAGGGUGACCGCCAAGCUCUGUGUGCUCACGGGGCUGCCAAUUCCCCAACCACAGCUCCCCAUGCUAGUGGGACUGCCACUUCUCCAGCCACCUGCUCAAGGCCAAGCAGCAGUGCAUUGCAAGCACACCUCCCCACCUACCCUGCUUGCCUUGCAGAAUCAAGGUGUUCACUAAAGGCCUUGCUGCAGAAACCGUCUUCUGCUUGGAAACUGAAACCUUCCAGUUCUUUCCCAUCAGCUGCCCAUCAGGGCUGCCCAUGGAUGUAUCAGCCACCCCAACAGAGCUGAAGCUCCUACUCCUCUAGACCCAGCAUGAAAUGCCUCUCCUCUUGGGGCAGCACUACCCAUCAGGCACUUCUCCUGGGCAUUACCACUCGUAUUUGAAAGUGCAGGAAGGGCUGGAUAUAACGAGCGUGUUCCUUGCUCCACCAAACUCCAGUGAUUUUAACACAGGUCUUCAGAUUUCCUGGCAAUUUGCCCAUUUGUAGGAGUGUCACACUGCAACAAGUGGUCAUAGAAAACCAAUGGAUACAGAGGAGAGGUGAGAAGCAUGUUCCUCCUGCGCUGCAAGCAAUGAAAUUAAUAAAGCACCUACAAAACACGCUGUUCUUCAGCCGGAGACCAGCCCUGGGCUGUGACGCAGCAGCUGAGUUUGCGUGCUCCCAUCAGGGACACACAGGGCUGCAGCCACGCUUGGGCACACACCUCCCAUCACAUGUCUGGGCCAAGGAGCCAGAAGUCAGGAGCUCCUGACCCAAUGCAAGAAGUGCCAAGCAUUCUCCAUCCCUUCCAAAGGAAACGGUGGAGUCAGCACAAUCCUACCUACACCCGGACUCCACCGAGGCAGCUCAGGAUUGGAAAAUCCCAUUACCACCCGUUGAGACACCGUUAAACAAUUUCCCAGCCCCGCCAUGUGACCGUGCACAGGCUACACGGGAGCCCAGGCUUUAGCAGUGCUUUCACACUUCCAAAAUGUGUCUGCUGGGUCACGUGGAGGCUUUCCAAACCCCUUAAAUCCACCUGACAAAUUCACCUUCCCAACCUAAGUCAGCAGACCAGUUGGGAAGGGAGCACUCAGCACCACCUCCGACCACGUGUGCUCCUCACCUGGGGUUUUUUGGCCUGCUGCAGGCUGGACGGUGAGCGUACAGAACAUACCAUGCAAAUUGCUGUGCAUCUCCGUGCAAGCUUGGCUUGUGGCAGAACUCUUCCCAAAGCAAGUAUUCCAGGCUCGCAUAUAAAUUAAAGCUCAUAAAUCAGUUGAGAAAAAAUCUCCUCGAUGGCAAUGGCCAACUUGUUAGAAGGGAGCUAAAGGCUACAAACGGUUCUCAAUGAAGCCUCGCUAGCUGUCAAGAAUGCACGAGGCAGCGGCGGUGUUUGGAUUGGGAACGCGAGUCGGAUUUUUCUCCCCUCUUUUGAGGACAAUGAAAUGUAGCAGCUUUCCUUCCCCUCCGAGCUGCUCGGAGUGACCCGAGCCGGCAGACAACAGCACAGAUACAAUCUCUGGAAAUCAUGAAGUGAUCGAAGAAUGGCUGAGGAGUUCUGAAUAACUAAAUAAAGUCCUCUGUGUUUUCUUUAGCAAGUAAAGAAAAUACUUUUAGCGUUUUAGUGUGACUUUUGGGGUCAAGGGGGAAUCUCGAGUCCAAAUACAACAAACCCGUGUGGAAAUUGCUGCCAAGAGUCUGAUAGCUGGGCUGGGAGUUUGCCUUGAGGCUCAGAUGUGCGAGUGCAGCCCGCUGGAGGCAGGCUGAGCCUGAGCUCUUGCUCAGAGCAUGGGAAUCUCGGGCACGUCCUCCCUCCUCCAGCAGCGUGCCCCUCUGCAGCUCAGUGCCAGCACCCAGCCAUCCCAACAGCCAGGGCUGCGGGUCAGCACAGCAGCGCUUCCCAGUGCCUGGUGCAGAUGAUAUUCCGUUAGCAACACCUUACAGCAUCGUCCUGCAUUUCUCUUAAAUGCCCUUUUAGGAAAUACGUUAUCACUAUGGGAUGUUACUGGGGUCACAAAGCACAGUGUUCAUGGGUGAGCCGGGGUGCUCAAUAAAGGAAUAGGAAAAGAAAAUUUCUGGUAUCUCAGCUUCCUGAUCUUUGAAGCACUGCAGUAGAUAGAAUUGCCUUCUCUAGCACACCCCCUCGAAGACUUAACUGUUUCUUUUUUUAACCUCACACUGCUAAAACAGUCAAAUCUUCCAAUACCAUAUAUAUUAUAAAGUAGAAAUGUAAUUCUGGCUUCAAAUGUACAUUCAAAAAAUCUUCAGGUUGUUUUUUUUUUUUUUUUUAGGUUUGCCUAGAGAAUAAUUGAAUACUUGUGUUAGAACAUCACCCCCAGUGCCAAUUUCACAUACCCCAUCUGUCAUCAUUGGCACAGGUGGAAGGACUCUCCUUCUGCUCUGAUGCCACGAAGAGAGGAUCCACGCUGCAGAAGCACACCCCCUUGGUUUCUUAUUCCAGCAUAGGAUUGCUGUAGCCAUGAUGGGCAAAAGAGAUAAAGGAUAUAGGAGAGGGAUAAUGUCUUUUGCUGGACCAAUAUAGCCCUCCCAAAAAGCAGACUAACUUUUAGACACACAAGGUCUUCUUCUGCGAGCUUUUUGGGGAUCGUAACAGCCUAAUGAAAAAUAUCUCCUCUCUCUUCAAAAUUCUCUUAUUCACAGCAUUCAGCCAUGUGAAAUCCACGUUACAAGAAACAUCAUAUAUGUUUUCUCUUAUUUUCUUCUGUUACAUUCCUGUUUGUGCAAAUGAGAUGCACCUAGGGUUCUCGCAGCCUUGCCUACCUCAUACAAAGAUGCAUUGCACAGCUUCCUCACCAAGCCAUCUGCUCUCAGAGAGGAGAAAGCCAACAUCUGACAUACCACAUACCAUCAAGCAGCCUCAAAAGGACAGUAGUGGGCAAAUGAUACCCUGCAUCUGCUCAGCUCGCAUUCAUUUCCAGCCACCUAAGGUUUGGCUGCAACAGCUCUUCUAAACCCAAAUACAUAUGUUGGCUUAGAGACACCAUAGUAAAGUAGCCUAACAAACCAAAGCAAUUGGUUUUAAUAAGAAUCUUGGCUUGUUUUGACAAUGCACUGAAUCUUCAUGUUGGCACCGCGAAUGUUUUUUUAGGAAAAUGUAUGCAUCUUUGCAGCUCUCAGCAACUAAAUCCUCUCUGCACUUCAUGGAAAGGGUUUCCUGGCUAUCCGCUUUCCGACGUAUUCCAAGUUCCUUGCAGCUGAUUGUUGUCUAGGCUGAAAUACUUUCAUACGAAGCUCAGCUAUUUGCCCCCGUUGCGUGCUGUGUGCCGAUGGUGUGCGGGUCUCACGCAGUGCCCUUCAUCCUCCCGCACCUACAGAAGGGGCCGGGGCUGCGGGGACGUUUCAGUGCUUCCUGAAGUGCGUUGUGCAGAUGUGUUUGGAAUAGCAACGGAAGCGGCUGUCUCCCUCUACCCAGCCUUAUUACAGGCAGUAGCAAUGCUCCCAGAGUUCAAAGGCAUUUCAUGCUCACUGAGCGUUUUUCAGCAAGAAAUCUGAGAUUAAAUAAACUCCAAUCCUCUCUGAGGAGAAAGCAGAAGAUGGAGGGAGAGGCGCUGACUCUCGCUGCGCAGCAUGCAUCUUGGUGUACCUUGGAAAACACCCAGGCGAGGUGCUCCUCAAGCACACAUCUGGCCAGGACAUUUCACUGCUGGGGCCAGGGCUGUGCCUGCUGCUUUUGAAUGGGCUCGUGCCAAGGAUGCCAACCCACUCACAACCCGAACGGCACCCAGGAUGUUCCCCAGCCUGAGUCCUACCACCACCGUGCUGGCUCCUGAGAGGCCAGUGAUUGAACGGUAAAGGUAUAAGGACACACACAAAUAUUAUACUGCACUAUAAACCACAAUACAAGCCUGGCAAGAGUUCGCACCAUAAACGAGCAUCUCAGCUUAUCUGAAUAUGCAUGACAGAAACAACGAUGUAAUUUUUGCUCAUCAGGAAGACACCAAAUUGUGUCCUCUAUCAAAUACCAGGUGCAACGCUGCGGCGGCCACUGCAAG
ensembl:lncRNA